GACGAACGCUGGCGGCGCGCCUAACACAUGCAAGUCGAACGGAGAGAAAGACAGCUUGCUGGAUUUCUCUUAGUGGCGGACGGGUGAGUAACACGUGAGCAACCUGCCCCUCAGAGAGGGAUAACGUUUGGAAACGAACGCUAAUACCUCAUAACACUUUUGGUCGGCAUCGACCUUAAGUCAAAGAUUUAUCGCUGAGGGAUGGGCUCGCGUCCGAUUAGGUAGUUGGUGAGAUAACAGCCCACCAAGCCGACGAUCGGUAGCCGGACUGAGAGGUUGAACGGCCACAUUGGGACUGAGACACGGCCCAG
rnacentral:rRNA from 1 species